rnacentral:rRNA from 1 species
AUUGAACGCUGGCGGCAUGCUUUACACAUGCAAGUCGAACGGUAACAGGCCGCAAGGUGCUGACGAGUGGCGAACGGGUGAGUAAUGCAUCGGAACGUGCCCAGUCGUGGGGGAUAACGCAGCGAAAGCUGUGCUAAUACCGCAUACGAUCUAUGGAUGAAAGCGGGGGACCGUAAGGCCUCGCGCGAUAGGAGCGGCCGAUGGCAGAUUAGGGAGUUGGUGGGGUAAAGGCCUACCAAGCCGACGAUCUGUAGCUGGUCUGAGAGGACGACCAGCCACACUGGGACUGAGACACGGCCCAGACUCCUACGGGAGGCAGCAGUGGGGAAUUUUGGACAAUGGGCGCAAGCCUGAUCCAGCAAUGCCGCGUGCAGGAAGAAGGCCUUCGGGUUGUAAACUGCUUUUGUACGGAACGAAACGGUCUGGGUUAAUACCCUGGGCUAAUGACGGUACCGUAAGAAUAAGCACCGGCUAACUACGUGCCAGCCGCCGCCGUAA